AACGAACUGGUCACACUCACUGCUCUGGAGCUCAGCCAAAAGAGGAAAAGCAUUGCAAACACUCACAGAAGAACAUUUUGCAAGACAAGGGAAGGAAGUACAUGUGAAACCGAUUCUGGGCUUAAACAGAGAUAAUUUCUGACAAUAUCUCAUUCUUAACGUCAAACCCUGGGGAAACAACGCGGACGUCUGUGCAUUUUCCUGCUUGGUACUUUACACGUGAACAGUUAAAAAUCACAGAAGAAGAGAGAAUAACUUGUAAGUAACAUCUGGAACUGAUCUGUGAAUAUCUUGGUGCGUGUUUCAGCUUUCUCUGAUUUAUCCCUGAACAAUCUCCUUUUAUACACACACACACACACACACACUUUGCUCUCGGUAUUAUUCAAUACAUUAGAGAUAUCACACAAUACAACAAUAGGGUGCCUCGAUGCCCCUUAUUACUACUAUCCAUUUAAAAAAAAAAAAAAUUUGCCAUCACAAUUUAUAAAGACCUCCUAAUAACAUCUGUGAAAAGGCAGGUGGAUGUUUUAUGUACAUUAUUAUUCUAAUUGUAUUAUUUAUAUAGCGCCAUCAGAUUCCGUAGUGCUGUACAAUGGGUCUGAUCAUGUGGUAGAGGAACCCCCUUUUAUUCUGUAAACAGGGGUGGCCAAUAGAUAGAUCUGAAGAUUUUGUGAAACAAACACUCAAAAUGUCUUUUCACUCUUAAAGUUGAUAAAGUAUGAUGGGAUGAUGGGAGCUGUAGUCCUCCAGCAGCUGGGGGGUGGGGAGGGGUUAAAGGGUCUACCAUUGCCCAUCCCUGUGUUGGGAGUCAUGCCAUUAAAUGAACGGAUAAAACGUGGGACACAAAUUAACAUCACAUGUUACUAACACUCCUACACUGAACAAUUGCAUGCAAAGUGUAAAAUGUUAUUCCAAUAUAAGUUUAAUGAUUGCACACAAACUCCCAUAGGCUCGCAGUCAUGAUAUAUGUUUGAUAAAUGGAUUAAAGGCAGCAAUGUAUACCUUGAUGUGACUAACAGACGGAAAUGUUGACUGUUGUGUAGAACACCAGCAAGCCCAUGGCUAAUUCACUGUAUAGUUACUAGUUACCCAGAUUAUAUUAGGUUUACGUUGCCACAGGCUACAACAUGUUCUGUGUAGACGAUAGCUGGAUAACAGAUAACAUUGGGUUCUACUUUAAACAAUGACAGGUCAUUCAUAUCAGCACUUUACUAUAAAACACAAGUAUAUGUCAGGUACAAAAUAACGUACAGAAAGGGUGCAGCCACAAAUAUAAAUAUAAAAUUAAUAGUGAGUAAAACUUUAUAGGAAUAUCACAAAUGAUCUCAUUUGUUUGGCAGGGUAUGUCUGUAAUGUAAUGUAAUGUAAUAAAAAAUAAAAACCACACAGAACAAAAAAUAAUAAUAAUAAUAAUGUCUAAAAGAGUUUAAAUAAUGCUCCACUCAAAAACCAAUAGAGGGAUAUGUUCAAUCUUAAAAAGUCUAACUACCACAGCCAAAAAGCAUGUGGUGUUACUAAAAACAACUGCCAUUUUAUUAAUUUAUUGAAAUGUCUUCUGUGACAAAGUAAAAAAGUUUGGGAACCCAGAGGUGCAUGACCCACAGGCAUAAAUUUACAUAGUUCAAGACUACCUCUCCCCAACUGCGGAAUGCAAAGGGUUACGGGGUUACUCCCAUGGUCCAGUAACAGUUUGUCCAGUUAAAGGAAUAUACAGGCAGGAGUGAAAGAUACGGAUUACUGAUCACCAUAACUAUUACCAAGCAAUUUCCAAAAGCCACAAGAGGUAUCGACUGUGGGCUAAACCUUGGGAAAGAGAAGAGCCUGGAUACCUAGGGCAAUCCCUGUGUGCUCAAAGGCUCAUCUCUACACGGGGACAUUUCUAGCUGUCUGAAUUUGCCAGGAGGAUAACCCACAUCCCCAGGCUGUGCAAUUCCCUAUACAUGACAUAUCUGUAACUGUACAACUACCCCUGGGAGGAAAGGGACUCCCAUAUAUCAGGGGGUUGGGGGGGGGAGGGGGCUAAGAAUUUGUCUCACGGACACUGACUUGUAUUCUCCAGCACCGAAUAAAAUGGUUCAUCUCAUUUAACCAUAAAACCCCCAAAUAAACCUCAAAUACCAACACACAAAAUAAAGCCCUGCACUCAAACUCCCACUACUCCUGGGCAGCAGCAAUUGCUCCGGUGCACAUCAGCCCAAAUACACAGAACAAAGUCAAGAAAAUAGGGUUACCUGCGUAUUAUCCCAAAUUCCUAUCCACAUUUAAAUAACAGAAUUUAUACCAGUCACAGUGCACCUUUUUUAUUAUAUUAUAGAGCAUGCGAUUAUUAUUUUAUUACAUAACAAACAAAAUACUCUGGCCAAUGGGUAUCGUGAUAUGCACAUUUGGUGCACAUAACUAUCAUAUGGGGGGGAUUACUGGUUACCUAUUUACCAUUGGGUCCCUGAGACACCCUGGGAUCUCUUCCCAAAAUAUAAGGAAUUGUGGAAAACAGAAUUCUAAACUUUGAAUCAAAGUAGCUUAACUGGAGAUUUAUUUUCCACAGUCUAGCAAUUUUAGCUUAAAAAAAAAUCACAAUUGCCUAAUUUUUUUGUGACUUGAAUAAAAAUUUCUACUGUUUUUCAAAAACUGGUUGAUCGGGUUUCUUGCAGAACAAUGUGAUACUUCGGGGUUACCUAAAGAAACAAACAAAUAAUGACAUCAAUAUUUUGCACGAUUCAUAAAAGAAACGUUAAAGGGUUUCCGUUGCUACAUCUGUUAUCACCUCUCCUUUCAUGGGCAACCUGUAGCCUCUGCUGACUUCUAUGUCGCACACAGUUUGGGAUAUUUUGGGUUUAUACAUUCCAGGACUCCCCCACAGUGACACACCCUGAGAAAAGCACAAGGCAUAACCGGCUAUUUAUUACUACUGACAUUCGACAUUGCCUGUCACUGGUUUAUGAGAAGUUAAACAUUGUCACAAAGUGCAUUAACAGUUCAAGAGAAAGGAAACUAUUUUUUGUUAACCAUUGCAGUGAAGUAAGAGACAAACAAGUGGUGGAGUUUUUGGGCCUUUCCAUAAAUUAAAGUACAACACAAACAAAGUACAUAAAACAAAACAAAAAUGUUUCUAUUAUUUGAGGUUGAAAUUAUUUCUAUCGAAAUAACAUCUGCUUUCAGCUCCAAACCUAGUGGAAGGCUGGCUGAACUUGCUGGGAUUUAUAGUUUGGUAGCAGUGAAAGGGGUGGUUGGGGACAGAAGGGGGCACUAAAACAUAGGACAACUAUCAGCUGGCAAAGGACAGCAGCAAGACACUAUAGGGGGUGACUGUGAGCUAUCUCACCCACAGAAAAGAAAGAAGCCUAGAUCUGUACUGGCCAUCUCUAUCUGGGGGUACCUGCGUUGGUCCCAAACGGCCAGGAGGAUUAGUAGCCACCACACUCAUCACACGUGCAAUGCCGUUUACAAGAGAAAUCUCUCAUUGCAGAACUACCACAGGGCUGGACAAUUACAUGUAUCUGUAAUUGAAACUACUGAAUAAUAAGCUUAUACUUUCGUUAAGCAUGUUUUUUAUUACAUGUGAUUUUCCACUUUUUCAAUAAUGGGUGGCAGACAGGCACUAAUGUUAAAGGGGAAAUGUCACAUCCUGUGUUCGCUUACAUUUACACCGAUCAGCCACAUAAUUAAAGCCACCUGCUGCCUAAUAUCAUGUAGGUUCCACUAGUGCUGCCAAAACUGCUCUGAUGUAUCAAGGCAUGGACUCCACAAGACCUCUGAACAUGUCCUGUGGUCAGGGCUGGUGCAAGGAUUUCUGCCGCCCUAGGCAAAUGAGAAAUUUGCCACCUCUCCCCCCCAUGUGACAUCACACGACCCCACCAAAAUGAUCUGCCAUAUGAACCAAUGCCAAUGCUGGCCACAGUGUGUGUUUACAUUAAAAAGCCUGCAGGGACAGGCUAUAGACACCAGAACCACUUCAUUAAGCUGCAGUGGUUCUGGGGACAAUAGUGUCCCUUUAAUGUGAGGUAAAUUAGAGAUUAGUGCCACGAAUAAUAUACUAGAUUGCCUACUUACAACCAGAUGAGGAUGAUGAUGGGCUCUGGCUGCAGUCUGGCUCCAGUGGUCUGGUGUAGAACAGGAUCUCUGGAGGCUGUUUGUAACUGUGGUCACAAAAGUCAAUGUUCUGGAGGAACGUGAAGCAGGUCCAUUUUGUUUGGGCCCCUUGCACAGCUCAAGGUCUGGGCCCCCAGGGUCUGACAGUGAAUUUGCCCAUAAGGCCCACCCAUAAGUCCACCUACAUGCAGGGCCGCCACCAGAAAUUUUGGGGCCCCUGACAAAGCACAAGGUCUGGGCCCCCCCGCAAUGAAUGCGUAGUGUAAUGAAUGCAGUGUGUGUGUGUCAGUGCAAUGAAUGCAGACAGUGUUAGUGUAAUGAAUGCAGAGUGUGUGUCAAUGUAGUGAAUGCAGAGUGUGUGUCAGUGUAAUGAAUGCAGUGUGUGUGUCAGUGUAGUGAAUGAGUUGUGUGUGUCAGUGUAGUGGAUGCAGUGUGUGUGUCAGUGUAGUCAAUGCAGAGUGUGUGUCAGUGUAGUGAAUGCAGUGUGUGUUAGUGUUGUGGAUGCAGAGUGUGUGUUAGUGAAGUGGAUGCAGUGUGUGUGUGUUAGUGUAAUGAAUGCAGUGUGUGUGUUAGUGCAGUGGAUGCAGAGUGUGUGUGUUAGUGCAGUGGAUGCAGAGUGUGUGUUAGUGCAGUGGAUGCAGAGUGUGUGUUAGUGUAGUGAAUGCAGUGUGUGUGUUAGUGUAAUGAAUGCAGUUUGUGUGUUAGUGCAGUGGAUGCAGUGUGUGUGUGUGUGUUUAUUAGUGUAUGCAUGUAAUGUAAUAACUGUUAUUCUCCCCUCCCUGUUUCUUACCUGGUUCAGGAAGGGGGGAAGAUGCCAUGAUACCUGGUGGUCCGGUGGCAUUGUGGGGCCCCCCGGCUCCCUAUACUGACAGAGGGGGCCCAGCGGACUGCAGCUGUACUUUACAGCAUUUCCCUCGCUCUAACUCCCACGAGAUGUGGUGCGCGCGCUGCGCGGAGCGUUGCCAUGGUAACCCAUGGCAACGCUCUAACGGCCGCACGUCUCGCGGGAGUUAGAGCGAGGGAAAUGCUGUAAAGUACAGCUGCAGUCCGCUGGGCCCCCUCUGCAAGUAUAGGGAGCCGGGGGCCCGCGCCUGUACCUAUAUAUAGCGAUCACCUCUAUAUACAGGUGCAGAGAGUAAUUGUGGGGCUCUGGACUGCCAAAGCAGUCCGGGCCCCCCAUAACCCCCGUUAUGGUUGUCACCCCCUGAUGGCGGCCCUGCCUACAUGUUCCACCCAUGAGUUCGCUCACAGGGAGUGGAGUGUGUAGGGGAUGUGUUACGUGUUAGCGUAGAGGAUCUAAAAUGUGUGCUUAUGGAAUGCAGUGUAUAGGGAUACCAGUUUGUGUAGGUGAUGCAGUGUGUGUGUGUGUGUGUGUGUAGUGGAUGCAGUGUGUUUUUGUGUAAGGGAUAGAAAGCAGUGUGUGUUUGUGUGUAAGGGAUGUGUUGUGGGUUUCUGGUUGUGUUUAAGCGAUGCAUUGUGUGAAUCUGUGUUCGUAUGUGUAAGGGAUGCAAGGUGUGUUUCUGUGUAUGUAAGGGGUGCAUUGAGUUUCUGUGUGUGUAAGAGAAGCAGUGUGUGUGUGUGUGUGUGUGUAAGGGAUGCAUUGUAUGUUUCUCUGUGUGUAAGGGAAGCAUUGUGUGUGUGUGUAGUGUGAAAGAGAGAGUUUGUGGGGUUGGAUAGGGGCUGAGUCCUACCAACCCCUUUGAGCUUCACUUUCCCCCCCCUUCCUCAUCCUCUCUCACCUCUUGUCCCUUACUCCUCUCCUGUCCUUUAGAGCUCUUCCCUGCCUCACUGUCCCUUAGUGAUCCAACCUGUCCCUUAGUGAUCUCCCUGCCCCCUUUCCCAUAGUGCUCUCCCCUCCCGUCCCUUAGGGCUCUCCACUCCUGUCUCCUAGUACUCUCUCCCUCCCCUACCCUCCCCCCGUCCCUUGGUGCUCCCCCUAUCCCUUAGUGCUCUCUCCUCUCCCCUGUGCCCCCAUAGAGCUCUCCCCUGUCCCUUAGUGGUCUCUCCUCCCCUGCCCCUUAGUGGUCUCUCCUCUACCCCACGCCCCCAGUGGUCUCUACUCUCCUCUGCCCCCUUACUCCCCCAGUGGUCUCUCCUUCCUCCUUUCCAUUAGUUGUCUCUUCUCUCCCCCUCCCCCUCUCAGUGGUCUCUACUCUCAUCCCCUGCCUCCCUUAGUGUACUGUACUCUUCUCCCCCUUAAUGGUCUCUGUUCUCUUCUGGCCCCCCCUAGUGGUCUCUCCCAACUUCCUUUUCUUUAGUUAUCUCUCCUUUCCACCCUUUCCAUUAGUGGUCUCUCCCCUUCUCCCCCCCUUUCCAUUAGUGGUCUCUCCUCUCCCCCACCCCUCCUCUCCUAGUGGUUUUCCUCUCCCCCUUCGUUGUCUCUUCUACCCCCCACACUUAGUGGUCUCUCCUCUCUCUCCUUCCCCUUAGUGGUCUCUCCUCUCCUCUCAUCCCUAGUGGUCUCUUUGCCACCCCUCCCUCCCUUAGUGGUCUCUCCUCAUCCCCCCUCCAAUAGAGUUCUCUCCCGGACCCCCCCUCCCUCUGUGGUCUCUCUCCCCCCAUUCUCCUCACCCCCCUUAAUGGUCUCCUCCCGCCGUUCUUCUCACCCCUCUCUCCUACCCUGUGUAGCAUGGCCAAGCUCUGGUCCGGUACGCGGUACAGGAGUUUCUGUUUUCUGUAUCCAGCCGGAUUGACUCACUCAGUGUCCCAGUCCGGCUGGGUACAGGAAACGGAUGCUCCUGUACCGUGGACCGGACCGGAGCUCAGCCAUGCUACACUGAGGGACUGCCAGGAGGGAGCGCGUUGCUCUUCCCUCCUGCUGAUCCCUCAUAUCUUACGCCCCCGGCCGGUGCGCCCUCGUGGAUGCGCCGGCCCCGGUAGUGCUGCAGCCAGCUGAAGCUCUCUAAAGAGCGCUCAGGCGGUUGCAGCAUGAGGGGGACCGGCGCUCCUGCCGGCGCCCCUCCCUAAGGGGCACCCUAGGUGACUGCCUAAGUUGUCUAAAGGAAGCGCGGCCCUGCCUGUGGUAUGUGACACCAAGAUAUUAGCAGGAGAUCCUUGAAGUCCUGCAAGUUGAGAGGUGGGCCCUUAUGGAUCGGAUUUGUUGUUCCAGUACAUUCCACAGAUGAUCAAUUUGAUUUGGAGACCAAUGCAACACCUUGAACUCAUGUACCCCAAACCAUUCCUGAAGAAUGUUUCCAAUGUGGCAAUGUGGCAGAAAACGUGAUUCAUCAGACCUGGCAACCUUCUUCCAUUGCUCCAUGAGUCUGACACUCACAUCCCCAUCGAAGGUGCUUUCAGCAGUGGACCGGGGUCAUCAUGGGCUCCUUGACUGGUCUGCAGCUACACCGAUCCAUGCACAGCAAGCUGCAAUGCACUGUGUGUUCUGACAACUUUCUAUCAUGGCCAGCAUUUUGAGCUCUUCUGUGCGAUCAGACCAGACUGGCUAACAUUCGCUCCUCACAUGCAUCAAUGAGCCUUGGGUGCCCAUGACCCUGACGCUGGUUCACCAGUUGUCCUUCCUUGCACCACUUUUGGUAGAUACUAACCACUGCUGAUCCCUCUACAGACUGCUGUAGUGGUUAUGGUGCCACACCGUGGUAACAUGUCAAACCAUUUUAGCACAGUCUGGCAACUUACCCGGUUCUUGCCAGGUGCCCACCCUGCAUCAACCACAUUCAGUCUACUCCAACAAGAAGCCGGAUUACUCUAUAGAGCUAAGAAGGACCACACAGGACCGUGCUCAUUGGUUGAGAGAGAAAGUGAGCUGAGCAUUUUCAGCCAAAGUCCUGCAUCAGCCGUGCUUUGCUCUACAGAGACCUGCUAGAGAAGACCAGAAGCAGUUGAUGCAGCACAGGCAUCUAACUGGACAUGAGUAGGCUUUCCAACCAUUUUGUAAAUUUUCCACAAUUCCCAAUUUAAAAGAUAACGGUCACCUCAAAACUAUUUUUUAAUAUAACAAUCCUUUAAUAAACACAUCCCUGCCUUUAGUAUAUGACAGGAUCCUUUAGCCAAUUACAUGAAUGUUGAUCAGAUCGUUAUGGAAAACCAACAGUUGGUCUCUAUGGUCUUCCUUGCUUUGGUGCAGUGAGUGAAUCCCGGAAGAUCAUAGAGUAACUGCCAGUUUUCAAACACUCUGUAGAGUAAAGCAGCACCAUACAGGGCCAUGCUCAUUGGCUGAGAGAGUCAGCUGAGCAUUCUCAGCCAAUGAGCAGGGUCCUGCAUCAGAGACCUGCUGGUGAAGACCGGAAGCAGCUGAUGGAGCUCAAAAACCCAGUUGGACCAAAGUAUGUUCUCAAACCAUGUUAAAACACUUUGACAUCUUACCGUGAAAUAGCUAUAGCGGAUUAUGGCACUUGGAAUGUUUCUUUAGGCGCUUUUGGUCUAAUGCAAAGGUGAACUGAUCCUUGUGCGUAUCCACCUGCAUUGCAUUCGAUGAGAAAAUUACACAUGCCAUUCCAAAAUAACUUGUAAAUUCUCCACAAUUCCCAAUUUAAAGGAUAACUGUCACCUCAAAACAAUUUUUUUUAAUAUAACAAUCCUUUAAUCAACACAUUCCUGUCUUAAGUAUAUUACAGGAUCCUUCAGCCGAAUACAUGAACAUUGGAUCAGACAGUUAUGGAAAGCUGACAGUUAGUCUCUAUGGUCUUCCUUGCUUCGGUACUGGGUGUGAAUCAAGAAAGACCAUAGAGACUAACUGCCAGUUUUAAAACACUGUCCAACCCAAGGCUAUGUAUAUGGCUGGAGGACUCUAUCAUCCCAUUAUACAACACUACGCAGUUUGCUGGUGCUAUAUAAAUAAUAAAAUAAAAAUAUAUUAAAUGUAUCAUAAUAUAGUAACAGUAAGCAUGUUUAUUUAUCUAUUUUUACAUACAAAUUAUUUAAAAACAAAUAUAUUUCCUUUGAAAACUUGAUAAAAAAAAUAUUAUAAUCAAAAGGUUUUUGAGAGGGUACUAGCACGGAGCGGUUUGAUGAAUAAACGACUCCAUGCUAGUAACCUCUCAAAACCUCUCGUUAUAAUAAAGGUAAGUGUGCAGACUGUAAAGCUCAGGACUUUGUAAGCAAGGAGAACGAAUAUUUGACAAAAUGGUGAUAAACCAAACUUGUCGUGCAAAGCAUAACUGCGCAGAACAACUUGACAAUAACUCUUGGCGUUAUGCUGUUUGAAAUGUACAUGUGUCAUUCUCGCCAAUGUUUAUAUUUAGUUUGCAGCACUUUCUGCUAAUUGGCAUACAUUUCACAUGUAUGUACGCAGUCCUGAUUCCCAAAACCACCAAAAAAGGCACUAAUGUCUAAAAAUCACUAUUUAACUGUAUAAAAAUGUCCAAGCUAAUACAAAGUCGUUUAAUUACGCAAAGACUGACGUUUAUUAAUAAUGUCAUCAGCGAACACUCCAAAGUGAUUUAUGAAGGGUUUUAAAGGGAUAAAAAUUGCAAAGUUCACCAGAUGGGGGUCGCUCUGUUCCAAGUACAUAGCAGACAGACGCACGCUGGCAUUUACCUUUAACAUUAAACUAUACUUCCUAACUUUUUUUGAGAAAUAUAUCAGAAUGGUAUAUGUUUUAUUACUUAUUUAUGGAUAUACCAUUAUCAUCAUGUAUUAUUUAUCUUUCCUAUUAUUAUCCCUUUAUUAUAUUUCUCUUAUAAAUUCAUAGUAAUACAAAAUAUUAAACAAUAAAAAAUAAAAAAAAGCUUAAUAAUUCAGUAAUAUACAAGGGGUCUUUUAAUUAGGGUGUAAUCGCUUGUCUUUUAAGUUCCAUCUCCCAGAGACAGUUACUGAGCAAUGCGCUAUUGGCACACAGUGAGUUAAAGAGAUAUUGUAUCAGAUCAUCUUUACAGUAAAAUAUGUGGUGUGCAAUCUCAUUAGACACACAUGGUGGAAAUGGUGUAACUCCAUUGCAAUAAUUGAAAUAUUUGUAGAAUUUAGAGUCAGAGAUACCCAGAAGAGCCAUCUGGAAAUAUCGCAAGGUGGUGUAUAGAGUGAACUUUCCUUACCGCCUUAUACAAGAUCACUACACAACUAAAGAUUGAUGUCAUUGCAAAUCUUAUCCACGAAUGUAAAGUGAGCAAAGCAACACAGGUUCAAUACAAGGUGUUCUACCAUAUAAAGAUUAAUGUAUAACAUACACAUGGCAUUUUACUAAAGUCAGAUUUGUCUGGAAUUCACUGAUUUUAGACAAAAAUAGCCCCCCCCCACCCAGUUAGCUAAGCUUUGAAUUCACCUGUUUUGGCCUUGAAGGGUAUAUGUGAGGCCCCACCCCACUUAUGCUCUUUUGGAAGAACACACCAUUUUAUCUAUAUAUUGUGCUUGAUUGGGAGAAAAACUAUUUUAAAAAUGGGUAUUUCUUCCACCUCUCAGUCAAAUCUUUGGCAUUAACUCCAUGCUGACAAUUUAGCUGACUAGGGAGGGCAGACAAGACCUCCCAGAAGUGGUCCUUCUACUCUCCCAAGCAUAGCAACCGCAGCACAUGCACUGUAGUUGCUAUGGUAACUCUCUAGCCAACAUGUAGACGCCAGCAUGCUAGCAAAAAAGUGAGUGUAUCGGCAUUACACAGGAAAUGUACUCUGCUUGGGGAAGUGUCCCUAAUCAGGGCAAACCACUGAAGACGGGAGGAGGAGCAGAAGAUGGACUGCAGGUGGGCGUUAGAUAAAGAAAACACCAAUGCAGCUCACCUAUGGUGAGUAUAUGUUGAUGUUUUACAUUGAAUACAACAAGUAUUUCUGUGAUACAUGAAGUAUUUAGUGUAUUUGGUGCUAAUUUGAGGUAAGUAAAAUUUCUCAUUACAUCACUUUAAACUUGAAAUUCAUGUUAAGUUAGUCGCAAGUUUAACUUCAGUAAAUAACUCCGACAUUCCAACAUUUUAAAUGAUCAAAGAGUGAAAUUGUUUUGAAAAGAAUGUGAAUGGAAUUUACAUUACUGAAAAUAUUUCGGGGAUUAAUUCUCCCUUGUGCUGAAUGGUUUGAAUACCUCAAAAAUAGACAAUUAUGGGCAAGGUAUGAAACCUACAUUUCCUUUGAAAAUAAUCUUCUCGCCUUAAAUUUACAGAGAUCAGAAGAUCACUACUGCAUAGCAAAAGCAAAACAGAACAGAGCAGUUACACCCAUUACGAAGAUAACUAUUUACUCAUUCAGCAGUUAUAGAGCUGCGUUAAAAUACCUGAGAUAAUAAAUACCAUCAGAUUGUAUUAUGAUACCGUUAAAUUAGUAAUCUGCAAUUACUGUCCUAUAAUAAUGGCGAUGUACAAAUGAACAAAAACGUUCAGCUCUAUGGAAUAUGUUGGAGCUAUAUAGACAAAAAAAAUAGAAGUCAAUGCAUCAGAAUGCUUGGUUGUAUAGGAGGAGGUAUUAGCAGUAGAAAGAGGGAAGUGCUCAUGCCAUUGUACAGAACACUGGUGAGACCUCACUUGGAGUAUUGUACGCAGUACUGGAGACCGUAUCUGCAGAAGGAUAUUGAUACCUUAGAGAGGGUUCAGAGAAGGGCUACUAAACUGGUUCAUGGAUUGCAGGAUAAAACUUACCAGGAAAGGUUAAAGAAUCUUAACAUGUAUAGCUUGGAGGAAAGACGAGACAGGGGGGAUAUGAUAGAAACAUUUAAAUACAUAAAGGGAAUCAACACAGUAAAGGAGGAGACUAUAUUUAAAAGAAGAAAAACUACCACAACAAGAGGACAUAGUCUUAAAUUAGAGGGACAAAGGUUUAAAAAUAAUAUCAGGAAGUUUUACUUUACUGAGAGGGUAGUGGAUGCAUGGAAUAGCCUUCCAGCUGAAGUGGUAGAGGUUAACACAGUGAGGGAGUUUAAGCAUGGGUGGGAUAGGCAUAAGGCUAUCCUAGCUAUAAGAUAAGGCCAGGGACUAAUGAAAGUAUUUAAAAAAAAAAAUUGGGCAGACUAGAUGGGCUGAACGGUUCUUAUCUGCCGUCACAUUCUAUGUUUCUAUUGCCUUGGACUUUAAACAAUUUUACACGGAUGCACAAUUUUCCACACUUACAGAAAUCUUAUACACACAUAAUAACCAUAUUCUAUAAAACACAGUUUUAUUUCGCUAUUAAAGCCAUUUGUUCCCUGCAAUGUGCUCUGAAAGUUGAGUAUUUUUAGCUAAAUAUGUUAUUCAGAGCCUCUACUUUCCUAUUGUAAAAGCAACCAAAUAACUUAAAGGGACACUACAAGCACCACUGCGUGAGGUCCUUCUGUUUUUUAUCAAAGUGUUGUCAAGUGAUUUAUGAAAAUGCAUUGGAUUUACCGACACCCCUAGCCCACCCGAUCACCUUGGGACAUCAUACUGAGAAAUUACACUUACCAUCUGUUCAAAAUAUUUGUUUAAGUGUUUAGUGAUAGGGUGUGAGGACUGAUGGAGGAGAAUGCAUACGUACUUUCAAUUUAUUGGCACCAGAAAGGGAUUAAAGGCAAUUUGUCAGAGCAGAAUCCUACUUUACCCUAGUGUCCGCAUCCUCCCAUUGCACAGACAUGCAAAUAUACAAAUAUUUUGUAAAUUUUGUACAGAAAAUAUUGCUGGGAACUUUUAUAUCAUCAUGUCUAUAGCAGAGGUGAGGGAUUGGGGGGGGGGGGGCUUAGGUUAUUGGGAGAUCUUUUUGUGUGUGUGCUGUUCCGUAAACUGUAUUUUGUAUAUAUUUAAGUCUUUAAAUAUACUACACGACUGAGAAAUACAUGUUCCAAGUGUGCCCCCCAAAUACCCUUUUUUCUGUGCUAGGAGAUCUCUCAGUUUUUGUCAAACAAGAUUUAAACAGUUUCACGAAAACUGUUGUUGUGGUGAGAUUGCUAAAUCACAGGACCACAUACAUGCACAUGGUCAGUUGUGUCUUGGGACAUAAGAUCACGUUAGAAAGAGUACUGACUGCUUUCACACUGUAAGAGACUUCCCUCGUUUCUUGGUAACCUUAUCUUGUGUUUGCUCCCCAAGGUCACAUUGACACGGAUAUGCUGACAUCACCGCUCCCUCACCGCUCCCAUAUAAGCAUUGUCCUUCAUUAGACAUGCUUCUCAGCUUUUUUUUUAUAUAUACAUACAGACUUACUCACUCAAGUGAGAAUACAAAGUGAAUUUAAAUUUCAAGGCCAUUGUAACCAAUCUUACUUAAGAUAAUUUUAUAGUUUGGCUAUUUUGACCUUAAAGGGACACUAUAGUCAUUAGAACCACUAUGGCUUAAUGUAGUGGUUCUGGUGUCUAUAGCCUGUUAAAGCAGGCAUGGCACUGUAAACGCUGCCUAUUCAGAGAAAAGGCAGUGUUUACAUUGGUGCCUAGUAACACCUCUAAUUGCAGUCAAUCAGACGGCCACUAAAGGUGCUUCCUGGUCCAGUGCUGCACUGGCGUUCAGCUGAACACUAUAGAGGUGCAUUGAUUCAAUGCAUCUCUAUCAGGUGAUAUGGAUUGAUGCAGCAUGGCAUUUUGCUGUGCAUGUGCAAUAGCCUCCCAAUGCUUCCCUAUGAGAAAGCUUUGGAUUGGCUGAAAUCAUCAAGAUUUCAUGGCACAACCCUCUGAAAACAAUGGAGGGAUGAUGACAGAUAGAGAAUUCUCAGCUUUCUCCUGAAUAGUUUCACAUUUGCAGCAAACAAAAGUAGUUCUGGGCAUGGCUGCAACAUGUACUACAUCACUGGUGAUGGUCUAACUUAUAAUGGCCAUCUUUUUAAAAGAAGAGAGUGUUAAUUACUCAGGUUUCAAUUCUUAGACAUUGACAUUAUUAUUCUAGCAGAAUUUUUCAUUGUCAUAUGUCUAUUUAAAGCGGCACUGUCAUGGCCGCAUAAUUUUUUUUUUUUUUUUAAUAACCCCCCUCCCGACUCCACUACAUCUAAUUCCCUCCCUAGUCACUCCUAAAAAAAUUUGGUUCCCGGACCUAGGUCCUGGGUGCCGCCAUCUUUGCGUGGGUAGAUAAAGGCCCUGUGGGACACGUCAUCUGCCCACACUAGAUAGUGCUGUGAAAUUCCCGCGGACGCCCAGUUAAACAUUUGGGCAUUCGCCAUUGUCUGAAAAUUGGAUGGGAAUUUUGUCUUUUCAUUCGUCAGAAAGAUGAAUGAAUGAAUAUAAAUGUCAGACGAACGAACAAGCACUGAAUAUCGGUGUUCGUUUGUUCAUUCGUUUAGUUUAUUACAAGGAGGGAGUUACCGGCGCACGGCUCCCUCCUUGUAAUAUGUAAAGAUAGAAGCGGCAGGGAGUUGUGCUCCCCGCCACUUCCUAAGCCCCCCAUGUCCUCCCUCACUCUAUGGGGGUCAAUAUGAGAUUUAAAUGUCAUGUCUACAGUGAGCAGCCUGUCACAGUGUUAUGAGUCAAAUUACACAACAUGGGAAAAUUCCAAAGAACUUUCCCACGCUGUGUAAAAUGACUCAGAGCAUUCUGAUUGGUUGGAUUCCAAGCCAACCAAUCAGAGUGCUGUGACAGGUAAAUGUAGAGACUCACCUGUCAGAGCACUCUGAUUGGUUGGCUUAGAAUCAACCAAUCAGAGUGCUCUAAACCUAAUUGCAGGGUGUGGGAAGGCUUUAUAAUCCUUUGCUCGCCCUGUGGAACUCAGUCUGCGUGGUGCCCUCCCUGGGUGAAGAUGGAAUAUUUUUUGGUGUCCAAAUUUUUUUUUAUUUUAUAAGUUUGACGGGUAUUAUGUUUUUUUUUUAUUUGGCCUUUUUUGGGGCUGAAAAAAGAAGGUUUUUAGGAAAAAAAGAAGACAUCAAAUGGUAAGUAUUUUUUUUUAUUACAGGUAUUUAGUUUUAUUGUCUCACCCCUCACUAUUUUUAGGGUGACGGGGGGAUAGGUAUGGCUUUAUUUAAUUUUAGUUGGGUGGGGUGGUGACUAGGAUCUUGGGGACCCUUAGUCAUCUUGGGGGGUAUUUUUACACUUGGCACCCACCCGUCGCCCAUAGGUCCCCCCCUAUUGUAAUUUAGGGCCCCCACACACUGCUAAUGGGUGGAGGCCAGGGGAGGAUAAUUGGUCCCCCCCAAUUUUCAUUUAGGGCCUCCAGUGGCAGUCAUGGGUGGGGGCCAAUGGGGAGGACAAUAGGUCCCCCCUCUUUGUAAUUUAGGACCCCCACCAGCCGCUCAUGGGUGGGGGCCACGGGGGAGGACAAUAGGUCCCCCUCCCCCAAUUUUUAUUUAGGGUCCCCACCCGCCGCUCAUGUCUAUGUCAUUAAGUUAAAUAGCCCCCACUCGCGGGGCACGGGUAGGGGUUUGGGGAGGACACUAUGUCCCCUCCAGGCUAGUUAAGAGAUGCCCCUUGAUGGGGCCAUUUAUUGCCUCUACUCGCGAUAUAGCGAGUAAGAGCAGUUUAAUUACUAAUACUAAGUAAUUUUUACUUUGUAUUAGUAAAGUUAGCUGAAAGACAAAUCUUGGUCUUUCAGCCUUUUGCUAGAUAGCUCCCUGAUACCGUGGGAAUUAGGAAGCUAUCUACUAAGCAGCUUCAAAUGAAAUUUCGAACCGACCUAAAAGUACCGAGUGUUGUCCUAACAUGAAUAAACAAACUGUUCUCAUUCUGUUAGACAGAAUGCCGGCGAAUUUCAUUCUAAGUGACAGGACGUUCGGGAAUACUGACAGGAAGCAUCACGGAGAAAAGGUGAGAAUUGUGGGAGAACUGCUCUGACCACAGGAAAUGGAGCACACUUUGCUCCUCCGCUGGUCAUAGCUGGUCAGGCGUAGGAAAUAUACACAAGACAAAAUAGUCCCUACUUUGUCUUAUGUUUAAAAGAAAACUAGAGCAGAUUCUGACAGAGGAAGAGAAGAGGAAGCGAUUAGGGAAAGGUAAGUUCGUCAUGACAGUGCCGCUUUAAGAACGCAUUUCAAAUGUGAAAACGGUCAUGGUAAUAGCCUUUAUGCAUCAGUCGUCAAGGAGACUUAUUACACUUUACGUCAGAAACGGACUACUUUUUUUUAUUUUUUAUUAUUAAUCCUUUUUUCAGACAGUGUAAUACUUUAGAGAUAUUAACGUUAUUUGUGAAAGGUUCAGUUCUACUUACAGCACCGUGAAAAAUAACACUAAAUAAGACCUGUGUCACGUAAAGUGUAGAUACACAGUAACAGAACGGUCAUUUCAUUCAUCUAUAGAUCACUUGAAAACUGCAUUAAUAACGAACUGCAGUUACAGAUAGUAUAGGUCCCAGCUAAGAUCUUGAUACUGUUAACCACCUCUGUAUAACCAGACAUGCAUUGUACCGGAAAAUGAAAAUGCAAUGUUCUUGCACCUGUCGACAACUUAAAUAAAGAAUUAAAAAAAAAAAAAAAAAAGCAGAAGAGCCAAUCCUUACCUAAAAAUUUCCUAAGAUCAAGGGAUAGGUUAUUUUAAAUAUGUAACCAAGACAAUGAGGAAGGAAGAAUAGUUGCUGAGAUCGAAGGUCAGGUUAUUUUAAAUAUGCAGCACCUGCCAACCAUUUACAGAACUAUGGAGAACAUUGAAGGACAACUGUCAACUAAAAACUAUUAUUUUUUUAUUUUUUAUAAUUCUUUAUUUUAGUAGUGCAGAGUAUAUUACAGGCGUAAGCAAUGACUUGUACAACACAAUCAUAGUAAACAAAUAGAGGCACAAGAAGUCAAGAGAUACUGCACUUUUUUUUGUUAUAGCAAAAUAGGAACAUGAGUAAGACAAGAAAUGAUAUUAUAAUGAUAUACAAGGUACGAAACAGUCGAGUGUCAUACUAAGCUGACUUGUCUAGUUUGCAGGCGUUUUAGCUGUGCUAUGAUAUGAGGAGCUUCAUGAAAUCAUGCUUAGGCUUAGGCAACGGCGCUGGCUUUAACAUAGAGACUUUAGAAUAGUCAGAAAUAUGUAGUAAACUAUACAGGUUUAUGUCGCUCCAGAUACCCCGUCGCUUAUGUCAGAGGCUAGGUAUGUCUCCCAGUGGGUGGUCAAGCUUUGAGCCACAGCAAGAAUUAGUGGAUAGAAAAAGAAACCAUUAUUAAGCUUUUCUUUGGGACAGGAACAUGGUAUCGGUAUAGAUACCACUCGAGUCUACAGUCACGACUUAGCCCGACACCUACCAGAGGCACUGGGCAAUCUUGAAUAAAGCCGAUUCUUUGUGAGACUUGCUAAAGCUGUGCCUGCUGGUCUGGUGUUAACCGAUUGAGCUUUUUCAUGCUUGGUAGUGCCAGCGUGUUUUCUUGCGGAGUGAAAACAUGCGCACCAGAGCAGGGAAUCUACACGACUACUGGUCGUAAGUGCGAGCCGUCGUAAAACAGGUAGGUCGCUAAAUGAGGACCACCUGUAUUGUGUAAGGAGUACAGAUUUGUAUUCCAUACACUAUAGAAUCCCCUUAAAUGUAGAAAUCCACACCUCUUUAUCCUGCGACUGAGAGGCCCCAUCUGUCAAUUAUUGUUUUAAUCCGUAUUCUUUGCACUAUAAUCUGUAUUGUUUGCACCAGGCAGUCAGUAGAGAGAAAAACAUUUAGAGAAGAGAAGAAAUAAAAUGUUUUAUUUAUCUUCCUCAUUUGCAAUGUGUUCCCGGUCUGUGCCUGGACUGUGAUAUAAUUUGCUAAAUCUUUAAUAUACAUUUAAUAGGAAAAGGUUCACAUUAAACAUGCUUCUCAAUCAUCCCAAUUUUGGAGGGACAGUCCUGAUUUUGGAUCCUGUCCCGCCGCGCCAACUUUGUUUCCUUGUGUCCUGAUUUUGGGGAGAAUCCAGGGCUCUAGAACCCUGCAGAAAGCACAGAAAUAGUGCACCCUGCUUGGUCUCUACCCAUUGGGCUGGCCUGCUUGAUUGGCAGGCAGCCUCAUGCAGACUUGCCCCCCUUUCCUAAGGGCUAUUAUGCCCCAUUGGAAAGAGAUAGUAACACAAUUGUGUCACUGGCCAACCCCCUUUACCUUUCUCCUGCUUCUCAGGAGGCCGAUGUUGUGUGAUAUGCAUUAAAACAGUUAAAACACGUUAUAAGUGAUUUUCUGUGUUUUAUUCAACAGUGCAGUUUCAAAGUGAUGGCUCUUCCUUUAAUCAACUGAUACCCCAUUGUACAGCGCUACGGAAUUUGCUGGCGCUAUAUAAAUAAUAAUCACAAUCCUGCUCAUGCCAGACACAGUCCACUAGAGGUGGAGAAGCAGACACAUUGGGGGAGAUCAAAGCGUCACGUUCUGAAACUGUUACAUACAUGUAUAAUCCAUUGGAGGGGACUCCAACUGAUUGUAUCUGCUGAUUCUUCUCAUUUCCAUCAUCAUUGCUCCACUUUUAGUACGUUGCAACAUUUUUCACAAUAGGACACUUUGAUAAAUCUCCCCCACUGUUGCUUCACAAGCUAUGUUUGAUGCCAGAAGUACAGAGUUUCUAACAAUGAUUGACAGGGAUCCAAGGUAGAUCCACUCUGUUCCAUAAUUAUAGAGCAGUGUGAAUAUAAGCAUAUAAUAUUAAAUAUAAUGGACAAGUAAACAUAAUAUUACAAAUUGUUGGAAGUAAUAGUUCUGUAAGCACAUAUUUGUUUUAUACCUAUAUUAAUGCUCUAAUUUUAUUCUUCUUCUUUAGAUCAGAGAUGGCCACCUGUACCUGUGUCUGCUGGGGUAUAUUUUGGCUUGUGGUCCUUCUCUUCGUGGCAUGGCCCCUGAGUAUUUUCUUUGGUGGCCUAUAUGGGUUCCUGGCUCCCCUAACCACCUGCAUAGGACUUGACAAAUUCACCGACCUCCUGCUUCAAGGCGUAAACCUGGGCAGAACCUGCGCGCUAAACAUCCGAAGUGGAAAAUCUCUGUGCGAGUAGUAUGGACGCAAUGCCGGUCCAAAGUUCUAUUUUAAAAACAUAUCAUUCCAAGUCUGCUGAUUGCAAUAACUUCUUCCUGUCUAAUAACAGCAUAGUUUAACUCUUGUUGCCUGAUCUGUACAAGGGUGCAUCGUAAAUAUAAUAUAAUGGUGCUAUAAUUGGUAAGAAGACCAAAUGAUCUAAAACAUUCUUUUUCAUUGUUCCAGUUUACAUUUUUAUACAAUUUACAAAGCCUCAAUAUAAAUGAGUUAUAUAUAUAUAAACAAACAACAAGCUUUUUGUACUGAUGCACAGAAUAAAGAAAGAAGCAGACAGGAGAAA